UAGUGUGUUUUUCUACAGUUUUCGAAGAUGCGUACUGAACCCUCACCUGAGGAUUCAUCCAUGUGAGACAACUAGUGCUUAUAAUAACUUCGAAGAGUACAGGAGUCAGGAUCGAAGAGCUUGAGGUGAGCUUCCGCACUUGCUAAUUGAUGGUAUAGAAAACGGCUCACGUAGCUGAAUGAAAAACAGCAAAACUACACCGUUUUGGAAUCUUCAACACGUUUAACAUUAUUUUGUUAAUUGAAUAACACGAUAUUCAGGAUCUGUAAAAGUCUU